rnacentral:rRNA from 1 species
UAUGGCCUACGGGAGGCAGCAUUAGUUCCUUUUCUUCACUUUUCGCAAGCCUGAACGAGCAAUGCCGCGUGAACGAGGAAGGUCUUCGGAUCGUAAAGUUCUGUUGAAGGGGAAAAAGAGCGGAGAGAGGAAAUGGUCUCCGAUUGAUAUUACCCUUCGAGGAAGUCACGGCUAACUACGUGCCAGCAGCCGCGGUAAUACGUAGGUGGCGAGCGUUAUCCGGAAUGAUUGGGCGUAAAGGGUGCGUAGGCGGCCUGCUAAGUCUGGAGUGAAAGGUACCGGCUCAACCGGUACAGGCUCUGGAA